rnacentral:misc_RNA from 1 species
UGGAAACUGCUUUAGAUAAUCAGAAGCAUGUACGGCACUGCUGUUGAUGCGAUGCUUAAACAAAUGGUCAACCUCGUUGAAUUCCCUAAACAUCCACUUGGAAAGAUUUGACCAUCUUCGAGACGAUGCCGUACUUGGAUGGUUGUAGAACUGUUCGGCAUGCCUCAAGAAGAGAUACACCAGCAUGAAUAUAACAAGAAAUGGAGAUAAGAGAAGCAUUAGAA